rnacentral:sRNA from 1 species
AGCUUCCUCCAUGAUGCGGGGCUGCGGGAUGGUGCGCCCUUGCCAGGGCCUGGCCUCCAGGGCGAAGAGGAGCGGGGUGAGGGGGACCAGCAGGAGCCCCACCUGCUGGGGAACAUCAACGCCAAGAUGAAGGCUUUCAAGAAAGAGCUGCAGGCCUUCCUGGAGCAGGUGAACCGCAUUGGGGAUGGCCUAUCCCCCUUGCCCCACCUCACAGAGUCCUCUAGCUUCCUCUCCACUGUGACUUCCGUGUCCCGGGACUCCCCCAUCGGGAACCUGGGGAAGGAGCUGGGCCCAGACUUGCAGAUGUUUCCACCCGCCCCUUUGCUCAUUCUCAUCUCGGGUCUGUUUUCUUCACUUUCUUACACCACUGUCUUUAAGCCUAUGUUUCUAUUCAUGCUGUUCUUUGGUCGUUUUCUCAGUCGUCUCCCUUGUCCAUUUUUGUUUUCUUUAUCCCCCCUCCCUGCCUCCACCCUU